CAGUCGCCACGGGAAUACGUAGGUGGCGAGCGUUGUCCGGAAUUAUUGGGCGUAAAGGGCUCGCAGGCGGUUUCUUAAGUCUGAUGUGAAAGCCCCCGGCUCAACCGGGGAGGGUCAUUGGAAACUGGGAAACUUGAGUGCAGAAGAGGAGAGUGGAAUUCCACGUGUAGCGGUGAAAUGCGUAGAGAUGUGGAGGAACACCAGUGGCGAAGGCGACUCUCUGGUCUGUAACUGACGCUGAGGAGCGAAAGCGUGGGGAGCGAACAGGAUUAGAUACCCCAGUAGUCCCUGUCUCUUAUAC
rnacentral:rRNA from 1 species